UACAGAGGUGGCAAGCGUUGUUCGGAAUUACUGGGCGUAAAGGGCGCGUAGGCGGUCUUGCAAGUCCCGUGUGAAAUCCCUCGGCUCAACUGAGGAACUGCACGGGAAACUGCUUGGCUUGAGUUCGGGAGAGGGAAGCGGAAUUCCGGGUGUAGCGGUGAAAUGCGUAGAUAUCAAGAGGAACACCUGAGGUGAAGACGGGUUGCUGGGCUGACACUGACGCUGAGGCGCGAAAGCUAGGGUAGCAAACGGG
rnacentral:rRNA from 1 species